AUUGAACGCUGGCGGCAUGCUUUACACAUGCAAGUCGAGCGGCAGCGCGGGGGCAACCCUGGCGGCGAGCGGCGAACGGGUGAGUAAUGCAUCGGAACGUAUCCUCGAGUGGGGGAUAACCCAGCGAAAGUUGGGCUAAUACCGCAUGAGCUCUGAGGAGGAAAGCGGGGGACCUGCGAGGGCCUCGCGCUGGAGGAGCGGCCGAUGUCCGAUUAGCUAGUUGGUGGGGUAAAGGCUUACCAAGGCGACGAUCGGUAGCUGGUCUGAGAGGAUGAUCAGCCACACUGGGACUGAGACACGGCCCAGACUCCUACGGGAGGCAGCAGUGGGGAAUUUUGGACAAUGGGGGAAACCCUGAUCCAGCCAUGCCGCGUGAGUGAAGAAGGCCUUCGGGUUGUAAAGCUCUUUCGGACGGAACGAAAUGGGCGGGACUAAUACUCCUGUCUGAUGACGGUACCGUAAGAAGAAGCACCGGCUAACUACGUG
rnacentral:rRNA from 1 species